rnacentral:rRNA from 1 species
GACGAACGCUGGCGGCGUGCUUAACACAUGCAAGUCGAACGAAGAGCGAUGGAAGCUUGCUUCUAUCAAUCUUAGUGGCGAACGGGUGAGUAACGCGUAAUCAACCUGCCCUUCAGAGGGGGACAACAGUUGGAAACGACUGCUAAUGCCGCAUACGAUCUGACCUCGGCAUCGAGGAUAGAUGAAAGGUGGCCUCUAUUUAUAAGCUAUCACUGAAGGAGGGGAUUGCGUCUGAUUAGCUAGUUGGAGGGGUAACGGCCCACCAAGGCGAUGAUCAGUAGCCGGUCUGAGAGGAUGAACGGCCACAUUGGGACUGAGACACGGCCCAGACUCCUACGGGAGGCAGCAGUGGGGAAUCUUCCGCAAUGGACGAAAGUCUGACGGAGCAACGCCGCGUGAGUGAUGACGGCCUUCGGGUUGUAAAGCUCUGCUAAUCGGGACGAAAGGCCUUCUUGCGAAUAGUUAGAAGGAUUGACGGUACCGGAAUAGAAAGCCACGGCUAACUACGUG